rnacentral:rRNA from 1 species
AUGGCAAGAAGAAAUGCUGGGGCAAUGCAGAGAGAGGGGUCGGUUAAGGACUGGUCAGAAUUCGACCCCUCACCCUCUCCCAAGAUGGCGUACUCGCAGUCCUAUGUUGCAAUGAGAGGGGUGCUGACUUCUCUGGCUUCGCUUGACCUUGUCCUGAUGUCGAGCAGCCUAAAAUCUGCAUGGGCAACUAUAUUGUCCCACAAGCACGCUAGGUCCUUGGAGAGGCCAAAGUCGAAGGGGAUGAGCUGGAAAAAGGCCAUGAUCAAUCUAUUCAUGUGUUUCAUGAUUGGCAUUUUCAUCGGAUUCACGCCGCUUUUCUCUGCUGAUUUGUCAAACAAAAUGCCUGCUGAAAAGGACAGGCUUCCAUUUGAGGGGGAUGCGAUUGAUAGACGACAAAUGGCAGAACAUCAAGGCACCAAGCUGGAGCCAUUUGUAGCGGAGGCUGAAUCUGAAGCGGUUAAUGAGCCACAGGCCGAUGAGAGUCCCCCAGUUCCUGCAAUGUUGGAUGAUGAGGCAGAUUUUGUUGAAGCCUUGCCUAUUGUACAUUCUGUUAAUGAUUCUGGCAUUGUUGCGAGAAAGCAACUGAUAGUUGUGACAGCAACAUCAGUUCGACCACACCAGGCAUAUUACCUUCACCGUCUGAUUCAUGUCUUGAAGGAUGUACCGCCUCCUCUUCUGUGGAUAGUGGCGGAGUGGCCAUAUCAGUCCCGUGAAACAGUAGAAAUCCUGAGGUCUUCUGGGAUCAUGUACAGACAUAUUGUAUGCAAUAGGAAUGUUUCAAAUAUUAGGAAGAUUAUUGUCUGCCAAAAGAACAAUGCAAUAUUUCAUAUAAAGAAGCAUCAUCUAGAUGGUAUAGUGCAUUUUGCUGAUGAGGAGAGAGCAUACUCAGUUGAUCUAUUUGAAGAAAUGAGGAAAAUCAGGCGCUUUGGUACAUGGCCAGUAGCAACGCAUGUUGGGACCAAGUAUAAAUUGGUUUUAGAAGGCCCCCUUUGUAAGGGUGAUCAGGUCACUGGAUGGCAUACAAACCAGAGGAGCAGUAUACCGCGUCGAUUUCCAAUUGGUUUUUCUGGAUUUGCUUUUAACAGCACUAUACUUUGGGAUCCCAAGAGAUGGAAGAGCCCCACCGUUGGGUCUAUUAUACUCCAUUCAGGUGGAAGGGGUGGCUUGCAAGAGUCAAGAUUUAUUGAGAGGCUUGUCGAGGACGAGAGUCAAAUGGAAGGCCUAGCAGACAAUUGCACCCGUAUUAUGGUUUGGAAUUUCGAUUUGGAACCUCCUCAACUCAAUUACCCUACUGGCUGGUUGCUGCAGAAGAACCUAGAUGCUACGUAG